rnacentral:rRNA from 1 species
GACGUAGGGCGCAAGCGUUGUCCGGAUUUAUUGGGCGUAAAGAGCUCGUAGGCGGCUCGUUGCGUCGGCUGUGAAAACCCGCAGCUUAACUGUGGGCCUGCAGCCGAUACGGGCGGGCUGGAGUUCGGUAGGGGAGACUGGAAUUCCUGGUGUGGCGGUGAAAUGCGCAGAUAUCAGGAGGAACACCGGUGGCGAAGGCGGGUCUCUGGGCCGAUACUGACGCUGAGGAGCGAAAGCGUGGGGAGCGAACAGG